UUAUUUUCUCUCUGUGGAAAUGCUAGAGCACUGCGACAAAGGAAAUCAAAAGGAAACCAUUAUUUUUGGCAGGAGUAACAAUUUUUACUUAUCCUCAUACGCCAACAAUUUCGGAAUCAAUUUUAAGAUAGACCGCUUAGGUGAUCUUCGCAUGGCACGGUAGAUGAAGAGCUUCACCAAAUUGACCUUUAUUGUUUUGAAGUGAUGAUGAACAACAUUAAUGAUUAGUUUAUGCAUUUUGUAAACUUAGUUAAUGUAAUUAUUUAGUUGGAUAGUAUGAGUAUUAGUUAGUUUGUUUAAUGGAUAUUGUAAUUAUAUAUUAAUUUUAAAUUUGAUUUAUAUUUAAAUUAGAUAAUUGGUUUUUAA